AUCCCAGUGGUGUAGCGGUAGCACGCGUCCUCGGUAUGGAUGAAAUGCGAGUUCAACUCCUGUCUGAGGCC